CUGUGAGCUCGAUGAGUAGGGCGGGACACGUGGUAUCCUGUCUGAAUAUGGGGGGACCAUCCUCCAAGGCUAAAUACUCCUGACUGACCGAUAGUGAACCAGUACCGUGAGGGAAAGGCGAAAAGAACCCCGGCGAGGGGAGUGAAAAAGAACCUGAAACCGUGUACGUACAAGCAGUGGGAGCCUCUUAAUGGGGUGACUGCGUACCUUUUGUAUAAUGGGUCAGCGACUUAUAUUCUGUAGCAAGGUUAACCGAAUAGGGGAGCCGAAGGGAAACCGAGUCUUAACUGGGCGUUAAGUUGCAGGGUAUAGACCCGAAACCCGGUGAUCUAGCCAUGGGCAGGUUGAAGGUUGGGUAACACUAACUGGAGGACCGAACCGACUAAUGUUGAAAAAUUAGCGGAUGACUUGUGGCUGGGGGUGAAAGGCCAAUCAAACCGGGAGAUAGCUGGUUCUCCCCGAAAGCUAUUUAGGUAGCGCCUCGUGAAUUCAUCUCCGGGGGUAGAGCACUGUUUCGGCAAGGGGGUCAUCCCGACUUACCAACCCGAUGCAAACUGCGAAUACCGGAGAAUGUUAUCACGGGAGACACACGGCGGGUGCUAACGUCCGUCGUGAAGAGGGAAACAACCCAGACCGCCAGCUAAGGUCCCAAAGUCAUGGUUAAGUGGGAAACGAUGUGGGAAGGCCCAGACAGCCAGGAUGUUGGCUUAGAAGCAGCCAUCAUUUAAAGAAAGCGUAAUAGCUCACUGGUCGAGUCGGCCUGCGCGGAAGAUGUAACGGGGCUAAACCAUGCACCGAAGCUGCGGCAGCGACACUAAGUGUUGUUGGGUAGGGGAGCGUUCUGUAAGCCUGUGAAGGUGUACUGUGAGGUAUGCUGGAGGUAUCAGAAGUGCGAAUGCUGACAUAAGUAACGAUAAAGCGGGUGAAAAGCCCGCUCGCCGGAAGACCAAGGGUUCCUGUCCAACGUUAAUCGGGGCAGGGUGAGUCGACCCCUAAGGCGAGGCCGAAAGGCGUAGUCGAUGGGAAACAGGUUAAUAUUCCUGUACUUGGUGUUACUGCGAAGGGGGGACGGAGAAGGCUAUGUUGGCCGGGCGACGGUUGUCCCGGUUUAAGCGUGUAGGCUGGUUUUCCAGGCAAAUCCGGAAAAUCAAGGCUGAGGCGUGAUGACGAGGCACUACGGUGCUGAAGCAACAAAUGCCCUGCUUCCAGGAAAAGCCUCUAAGCAUCAGGUAACAUCAAAUCGUACCCCAAACCGACACAGGUGGUCAGGUAGAGAAUACCAAGGCGCUUGAGAGAACUCGGGUGAAGGAACUAGGCAAAAUGGUGCCGUAACUUCGGGAGAAGGCACGCUGAUAUGUAGGUGAAGUCCCUCGCGGAUGGAGCUGAAAUCAGUCGAAGAUACCAGCUGGCUGCAACUGUUUAUUAAAAACACAGCACUGUGCAAACACGAAAGUGGACGUAUACGGUGUGACGCCUGCCCGGUGCCGGAAGGUUAAUUGAUGGGGUUAGCGGUAACGCGAAGCUCUUGAUCGAAGCCCCGGUAAACGGCGGCCGUAACUAUAACGGUCCUAAGGUAGCGAAAUUCCUUGUCGGGUAAGUUCCGACCUGCACGAAUGGCGUAAUGAUGGCCAGGCUGUCUCCACCCGAGACUCAGUGAAAUUGAACUCGCUGUGAAGAUGCAGUGUACCCGCGGCAAGACGGAAAGACCCCGUGAACCUUUACUAUAGCUUGACACUGAACAUUGAGCCUUGAUGUGUAGGAUAGGUGGGAGGCUUUGAAGUGUGGACGCCAGUCUGCAUGGAGCCGGCCUUGAAAUACCACCCUUUAAUGUUUGAUGUUCUAACGUUGGCCCCUGAUCGGGGUUGCGGACAGUGUCUGGUGGGUAGUUUGACUGGGGCGGUCUCCUCCUAAAGAGUAACGGAGGAGCACGAAGGUUGGCUAAUCCUGGUCGGACAUCAGGAGGUUAGUGCAAUGGCAUAAGCCAGCUUGACUGCGAGCGUGACGGCGCGAGCAGGUGCGAAAGCAGGUCAUAGUGAUCCGGUGGUUCUGAAUGGAAGGGCCAUCGCUCAACGGAUAAAAGGUACUCCGGGGAUAACAGGCUGAUACCGCCCAAGAGUUCAUAUCGACGGCGGUGUUUGGCACCUCGAUGUCGGCUCAUCACAUCCUGGGGCUGAAGUAGGUCCCAAGGGUAUGGCUGUUCGCCAUUUAAAGUGGUACGCGAGCUGGGUUUAGAACGUCGUGAGACAGUUCGGUCCCUAUCUGCCGUGGGCGCUGGAGAACUGAGGGGGGCUGCUCCUAGUACGAGAGGACCGGAGUGGACGCAUCACUGGUGUUCGGGUUGUCAUGCCAAUGGCACUGCCCGGUAGCUAAAUGCGGAAGAGAUAAGUGCUGAAAGCAUCUAAGCACGAAACUUGCCCCGAGAUGAGUUCUCCCUGACUCCUUGAGAGUCCUGAAGGAACGUUGAAGACGACGACGUUGAUAGGCCGGGUGUGUAAGCGCAGCGAUGCGUUGAGCUAACCGGUACUAAUGAACCGUGAGGCUUAACCUUACAACGCCGAAG
rnacentral:rRNA from 1 species